rnacentral:rRNA from 1 species
GACGAACGCUGGCGGCGUGCUUAACACAUGCAAGUCGAACGGAAAGGCCCUGCUUUUGUGGGGUGCUCGAGUGGCGAACGGGUGAGUAACACGUGAGUAACCUGCCCUUGACUUUGGGAUAACUUCAGGAAACUGGGGCUAAUACCGGAUAGGAGCUCCUGCUGCAUGGUGGGGGUUGGAAAGUUUCGGCGGGUGGGGAUGGACUCGCGGCUUAUCAGCUUGUUGGUGGGGUAGUGGCUUACCAAGGCUUUGACGGGUAGCCGGCCUGAGAGGGUGACCGGCCACAUUGGGACUGCGAUACGGCCCAGACUCCUACGGGAGGCAGAAGUGGGGAAUAUUGCACAAUGGGCGGAAGCCUGAUGCAGCAACGCCGCGUGCGGGAUGACGGCCUUCGGGUUGUAAACCGCUUUCGCCUGUGACGAAGCGUGAGUGACGGUAAUGGGUAAAGAAGCACCGGCUAACUACGUG